GAGAGAGACAUGGUGGAGCUCAGAGAGCUGGAGAGAGACGUGGUGGAGCUCAGAGAGCUGGAGAGAGACAUGGUGGAGCUCAGAGAGCUGGAGAGAGACAUGGUGGAGCUCAGAGAGAGACGUGAUGGAGCUCAGAGAGAGACGUGGUGGAGCUCAGAGAGAGACGUGGUGGAGCUCAGAGAGAGACGUGGUGGAGCUCAGAGAGCUGGAGAGAGACAUGGUGGAGCUCAGAGAGAGACGUGGUGGAGCUCAGAGAGCUGGAGAGACAUGGUGGAGCUCAGAGAGCUGGAGAGAGACAUGGUGGAGCUCAGAGAGCUGGAGAGAGACAUGGUGGAGCUCAGAGAGCUGGAG
ensembl:lncRNA